UUGAUCAUAAGUGUAAUUACUGACUCUUACUUUGUUAACCCUUGACCCAAUAAUAUGAUACACGGCCAAAAUUAACGUGACAUAUAUUCGUAUAUACAUAUAUAUUAUUUAUUGGUUAGUUUCAAACAGUGAUACCUGAGAACAUAAACAUCGUUGUAUUCUUCGGAUACUAUCAGUUGAUCGUUCUCUUGGUCCUUGAAGGGAUAAAAUGCAAAACUGUACAUUAAAAUUCCCUUUGUGUCCCUCAAAUAGUCAAAUGGCGGUUUCCUGUAUUUGUAUGUUUUAACUCCUUUUGUGUACCAGUGAAGGUUAAAUAUAUAUAUAAAAUAUACGUAUUAGUUAACAUAAAUUUACCUUUUAUCAUUUCCAAAAAUACGGAAAAAUAUUCAAAUUUUUAAAUUGCAAACAGACAGGAUAUUUCAUCAAUUAUUCGUUGCGUCGGAUAUAAAAGAAUUUAAAUCUCCGGUUUUAUUUGAACAAAUCAUUCAACCGAUACGGCCAGCAGAUCGUAUUAAUCUUGAACUUCCGUCUCACAUGUGUAGUUAGGUAGGGUUGGUGUGUACACGUAUUUAGUCCAUCUUGGAACGCAGUUUUUGACCAAUUUGAACCAAACUCAUCAAUUUAGCAAAAUGUCAUGGGAUAGUUAUAUAGAUAACUUGAUUGCUCAUACAAAAGAUUCCACUGGAAGCGCAAAUGCAGACAAGGCUUGUAUUAUUGGCCUUGAUGGUUCAAAGUGGACAACAGAUGGCGCACCACAGGCCAUUAAGAUAACUGCUGCAGAGGCUGCGACUAUUGGAAAAGCUUUUAAAAGUAGAGAUUUUUCACCAUUUAUGUCGAGUGGAGUCACUGUCGAAGGAAUAAAAUACCAAUUUUUAAGAGAAGAAGAUAAUAAAUUAGUCUUAGCUAAAAAGAAAGACCAAGGUGCACUAACUCUACAAACUUCCAAAACAGGUGUGGUAAUUGGUCAUACCAAAGAAGGAGGUCAACAAGGCAAUACGAACAAAGGAGUUGCAACUAUAGCUGAAUAUCUAGAAUCCUUAAACAUGUAGAACAUUCGUCUCGACAACAAAUUACUGACAAUAAUCUAUGCAUCUAUGCACAUUAUAUUUCCUAAAAACUAAAGCAAUGUUUCUAUUGAGGUUCCAAUUAUACUUUAAUAUCUCUGCUUUACAUUAUACAAUUAAUAAAACAUACAUCUGACAA